rnacentral:tmRNA from 1 species
GGGGGCGAAACGGCUUCGACGGGGAUAAAGAAGCAUCGGCUGCAUGCCAAGCUCCUGUCGGCUUGUAAAAAUGGCGGGAAACUUAAAAUAAUCGCAGACGAUUAUAAUUACGCUUUAGCCGCUUAAGGCUAACGUCCUACCGGAUUAUUCCUGCGCAUCCGGCAAGGGCGUCGACGAGCAGGAUAGCCGGCCCUGAUAUCCCGUUAACGGAUCGGUGACAUUUUUACGGGAUAGCCUGUCAAGCAUCUUGCCUGGAGGAGACUUGACAAGGCGAAAGCCAAAUUUCAGGAUAUGUAUGUAGACGCCUGUGCGGAAUGUUCACGGACGCGGGUUCGACUCCCGCCGCCUCCACCA